UACGGAGGGGGCUAGCGUUGUUCGGAAUUACUGGGCGUAAAGCGCACGUAGGCGGCUUUGUAAGUUAGAGGUGAAAGCCCGGGGCUCAACCGUGGAAUUGCCAUUGAAACUGCAUAGCUUGAGUACAGUUGAAGUGGGCGGAAUACAUCAUGUAGCGGUGAAAUGCUUAGAUAUGAUGUAGAACACCGAUUGCGAAGGCAGCUCACUAAGCUGUAACUGACACUGAGGCACGAAAAGCGUGGGUAGCGAACAGG
rnacentral:rRNA from 1 species